rnacentral:rRNA from 1 species
GACGAACGCUGGCGGCGUGCUUAACACAUGCAAGUCGAGCGGUAAGGCCCUUUCGGGGGUACACGAGCGGCGAACGGGUGAGUAACACGUGGGUGACCUGCCCUCAGCUCUGGGAUAAGCCUGGGAAACCGGGUCUAAAUACUGGAUAUGACUCCAUGACGCAUGUUGUGGGGUGGAAAGCCUUGUGCGGCUGAGGAUGGGCCCGCGGCCUAUCAGCUUGUUGGUGGGGUGANGGCCUACCAAGGCGACGACGGGUAGCCGGCC